CGGCCUGGGGAACCACAAUGCGCAGCGGCAGACAUGGCGCAGGCGCGGUGGAACGCUACGGUCAGAUGACAUUAUCCGACCAAUCAGCGAGUGCGACUGUCAGGCAAUAAAAGGCCGGCGCGCCGGCCGGAUAUUCUCUUUCUCUCUCUGUUGCGUGUUGCUAUGGAGGAUAAAGGGGCGAUGGGUGUAAUCCAGUGCCAUCUUCCACUUUAUGUUUUGUGUAACAUCUUAAAACUCCUUCUACUAUUUUCUUGAGAUGUUUUGUUACAGAACAUUGACUUCUGUCUAGCCUUUGGUGCUAUGUGCAGCAUUAACUCUUCCAGGUAAAGCUUCAAAGAUGAUUGUGAGCCCUCCAAAUUGAUCAUUUCUGAUGUCGUGUUCCUGUUGUAGGUGAUGGAUGCGUGCAGGUUACUUUCAGAACUUGAUGGGAGAUUACUAACCAAGAUGGUUAGUUUGGAUGCAUCCAAAAUGGUGCAGUGAUGGCCACAAUGGAAAACCAUGCCAUGCUUUGAACCUUGGAAGCAGCGUCACGCUAGAAUAUUGACUCCCACAGAUGCUGAUGUCUGGCUAUGUUUUCUACUGUUCUAUUAACAACUUGAAGCUGAUGCAAUCUAUUGGUCUGCUGGUGUAUUAAUAAAGCAUAUUUUCUGGUUAAA